rnacentral:rRNA from 1 species
UUCGUAGGCGGUGCGGCAAGUCGGGAGUGAAAUCUCUGGGCUUAACUCAGAGGCUGCUUCCGAAACUUCCGUGCUCGAGUGUGGGAGAGGCGCGUGGAAUUGCAGGUGUAGCGGUGAAUGCGUAGAUAUCUGCAGGAACACCCGUGGCGAAAGCGGCGCGCUGGACCACAACUGACGCUGAGGAACGAAAGCUAGGGGAGCAAACAGGAUUAGAUACCCUGGUAGUCCUAGCCCUAAACGAUCAGGACUUGGGGUGGCGCCCGUUCGGGCGUCGUCCCGGAGCUAACGCGUUAAGUCCUGCACCUGGGGAGUACGGUCGCAAGACUGAA